AAUGAACCGAUGACGGAAAAAGUAAUUGGUGCCCAAAUGGACAGAGAAAAAAUGUCACUGGCUGGAAGCAUUUUUGCAAUUUGGUCCAAUGAAAGACAUUCAAGAGGCUUUAUAUCGAAAAGAGUAGGUAUAAACGUUUUGCAGGCGUUAACUGUGUAAAGGCGGAUACAUAAUUUGUAUCAACUAGGGUGGCAACGCGGGUAACUCUCGUCCCUUUU
rnacentral:ncRNA from 1 species